CGAACGGGUGAGUAAUGCGUGACCAACCUGCCCCAUGCUCCAGAAUAGCUCUUGGAAACGGGUGGUAAUGCUGGAUGCUCCAACUUGACGCAUGUCUUGUUGGGAAAGUGUUUAGUGGCAUGGGAUGGGGUCGCGUCCUAUCAGCUUGUAGGCGGGGUAAUGGCCCACCUAGGCUUCGACGGGUAGCCGGCCUGAGAGGGCGGACGGCCACAUUGGGACUGAUAUACGGCCCAGACUCCUACGGGAGGCAGCAGGU
rnacentral:rRNA from 1 species